UACGAAGGGUGCAAGCGUUACUCGGAAUUACUGGGCGUAAAGCGUGCGUAGGCGGUUUGUUAAGUCAGAUGUGAAAGCCCCGGGCUCAACCUGGGAAUUGCAUUUGAUACUGGCAGGCUAGAGUGUGGUAGAGGGUGGUGGGAUUCCCGGUGUAGCGGUGAAAUGCGUAGAGAUCGGGAGGAACAUCUGUGGCGAAGGCGGCCACCUGGACCAACACUGACGCUGAGGCACGAAAGCGUGGGGAGCAAACAGG
rnacentral:rRNA from 1 species